rnacentral:lncRNA from 1 species
UUUUUUUUUUUUUGGAUCAAAUUGCAGUACAGAAAGACAUGCAUUUCAUUUUAUUAUUUUCUGUCCUGGGUUUUACUUUUUGGUAAACGUCUGGAUGAAGGAGAGAAGGUUUGCCAUUAAAAACAAAUUGUAGAAAACGUUCUAGAAACUGUCAUUAGGAAGUCGGAGCAGCUCUUCUCUCUGUAGAAAGUUCUGGUGACGGCAAUUUCUUUGCUAAUGGGAAGCCUGCUUUAGAUUGUGUUUUGAAACAUUAUUUCUUUUUACUAGAAUGAAGUCUAUCCUGGCCCUUGUUACCAGAUUUCUCCUUUCAUGUGUUACUUUUUAAGUGUUGUGGGCAUGAAGCAAGAUUUUUUUUUCUCCCUCCAGUGAUUUCUUCGACAAUAACUUGUAUUAAAACAUGAAUCUAACCCCCCCCCCACCCACCCAGAUGUCUGUCACUAAUGAAGAAAACAGUUUGAGUUAGAAUGUUCAUUUCUUUGAAACAAAUGUGUUCUGUACUUCUGUAGAUGAUAGUGAUUUGAACACUCAGAUUUUAUUAAGCUCUGCACCGCACUGGUGGAGAUUUUGAGGGUUGACAAGGAAACACAGCUCACAAAACAACAAAAACAAAAACAAGGAUGUAAGAAAAGUCCCAGAAGGGUUCUUCUGGAACCUGCUAGAACGUUAUAAAAGUCCCCGCCUUCUAACAUACUUCCUUUGAGUGACAUGAAAUUGGUACCGUUGCUUGUGAUGGCGGAGACGUAGUGAGGUAUUAACUUUGAAAACGAAAUCAUUUAGACUUGGAGAGAGAGAGAGAGAAAAAAAAAAGUCAAUAAUUCCUUUUAGUCUGGGAGCACACUGUAAAACCCCAGGGCCUUAAAAACUUCAACUCUGCCUAUAGCAGUUUACAAAAAUACUAAGCUGCAAUCAAUGUAAAUAAAAUUCUUAGCACUAUCCUGAGACUGAAUUUCAGGCUAAUAAGGAAUUCGGUUUGCAUAUGCUGUCAAAAGGGUGUCAUCCGACCUGGGUUUCACUGGGAAUGAGGCCACUGGGCAGCGUGGACCCAUCUGGCAUAAAGCAAGCUGCUUUCUUGCUGGUUUUCUUUUCUUUUCUUUUUUUCAUUUGUUUUCUUUCUUCCUUUUUUUUCUCUCUCGCCCCACCCCCUUCUCUAGAAUAGUUCUCACUGCCUUACUUAACUCAAGUUGGUCAACUGUGGCUGUCUCUGUGGUCCACAGGAGGCCUGGAGACGCUGGUGGAAAAAAAAAAGUCUGACCGUAGUAAGCAUUUAGGGUUUUAACUGCACUGCUGUGUUUGGUGACUGUGCCAGUGGCUUGCUUUCUGUGUGUUUGCCCCACCUGUGGUAUCUUAGCAAAGAAAACUUAAAACAAUAAAAUAAAAUAAAAUUAAAAAAAUAAAUAAAAAGGAAAAAAAAGUGGAAAAAAGAUUUAAAAAAAAAGAAGAAAAAAGAAAAGAAAGAGCAGGAGAGAGAUCCACAUUCCAUGUCUAGCACUUUGGCGCUGGUACAGUAUCUUUUGUGCCCCCCAAGCAUCUUCAGAUGCUACAGGCAAUAAUUCUGUUUGUGACACUGGGAACAUCCUCCUCUUCUUCGUGGCGUGUGUGUUGAUCCCACUUUGUCCUGUCCUACUAGCCGCCCCUCUUUCCCUCUGACACAGGCUUUCUUUCCGGAACAUUUGUGACUUGUACCACAAGCCCGUGGCCGCCUCUGUGAUGCAGUGUCAGCGUCGCGUGUCAUCAGGCUCUUGUAUCUGCACACCUCAGCCCCUCCCCCGUGACUUCUGUAGUCUGUGACGCUGUCCCCAACCCUGUCUACAUUCUAUCUUGGAGGAACUCUGAGAUCAUAGAGUAGAGGAGUUUGUCGCUAUGCUUGUAACAAGUAGAACACUUUGUAUUUAAAGUUUAUUCUUGGUCAUUAUUUAUUAUUAUAAUACAUCAGUUGACAGAACUUUAUUCUGGUAUAGAAAGUAUUAAAAGUUGUUUUUUUUUCAGCGAUGACUGUUUCCUUUCUGCUGUUAGGAAUAAAAUGUCUUUGAAGCAGUCCAGUUUUAUCCGGUGUUUUAUGCAGUAAAACCUCUACCUUUGCAAAACAAAAAUCCAAAACCAAAACAAAGUAUAUCUUUGCUGAGUCCUACAAAGAAUAAAACCUACUUCUCUGUGCUUGU